rnacentral:rRNA from 1 species
AGCAUCCUACGGAGGGCAGCAGUGGGGAAUAUUGCACAAUGGGCGCAAGCCUGAUGCAGCCAUGCCGCGUGUAUGAAGAAGGCCUUCGGGUUGUAAAGUACUUUCAGCAGUGAGGAAGGUGGGUAUGUUAAUAGCAUAUUCAUUUGACGUUAGCUGCAGAAGAAGCACCGGCUAACUCCGUGCCAGCAGCCGCGGUAAUACGGAGGGUGCGAGCGUUAAUCGGAAUUACUGGGCGUAAAGCGCAUGCAGGUGGUUUGUUAAGUCAGAUGUGAAAGCCCGGGGCUCAACCUCGGAAUUACAUUUGAAACUGGCAAACUAGAGUACUGUAGAGGGGGUAGAAUUUCAGGUGUAGCGGUGAAAUGCGUAGAGAUCUGAAGGAAUACCGGUGGCGAAGGCGGCCCCCUGGACAGAUACUGACACUCAGAUGCGAAAGCGUGGGGAGCAAACAGGAUUAGAUACCCUGGUAG